AGCUAGGGGAGCUUAUGCUGAGAUUCACCGUCUGCUGCGGUGUAACCCUCAUGACCUGAACCGGAUAAUACCGGCGUAGGAAAGCAAAUA
rnacentral:ncRNA from 1 species